rnacentral:rRNA from 1 species
AUUGAACGCUGGCGGCAUGCCUUACACAUGCAAGUCGAACGGCAGCACGGGAGCAAUCCUGGUGGCGAGUGGCGAACGGGUGAGUAAUAUAUCGGAACGUGCCCAGUCGUGGGGGAUAACGUAGCGAAAGCUACGCUAAUACCGCAUACGAUCUAUGGAUGAAAGCGGGGGAUCGCAAGACCUCGCGCGAUUGGAGCGGCCGAUAUCAGAUUAGGUAGUUGGUGAGGUAAAGGCGCACCAAGCCGACGAUCUGUAGCUGGUCUGAGAGGACGACCAGUCACACUGGGACUGAGAAACGGCCCAGACUCCUACGGGAGGCAGCAGUGGGGAAUUUUGGACAAUGGGCGCAAGCCUGAUCCAGCAAUGCCGCGUGCAGGAUGAAGGCCUUCGGGUUGUAAACUGCUUUUGUACGGAGCGAAAAGGCUUCCACUAAUACUGGGGGCUCAUGACGGUACCGUAAGAAUAAGCACCGGCUAACUACGUGCCAGCCGCCGCCGUAAAAC